UACGUAGGGUGCAAGCGUUAAUCGGAAUUACUGGGCGUAAAGCGUGCGCAGGCGGUUUUGUAAGUCUGUCGUGAAAUCCCCGGGCUCAACCUGGGAAUUGCGAUGGAGACUGCAAGGCUAGAAUCUGGCAGAGGGGGGUAGAAUUCCACGUGUAGCAGUGAAAUGCGUAGAGAUGUGGAGGAACACCGAUGGCGAAGGCAGCCCCCUGGGUCAAGAUUGACGCUCAUGCACGAAAGCGUGGGAGCAAACGAGGAUACGAAC
rnacentral:rRNA from 1 species